rnacentral:rRNA from 1 species
GUGAGGAAUAUUGGACAAUGGGCGCAAGCCUGAUCCAGCCAUGCCGCGUGCAGGAAGACGCAUCUAUGGUGUGUAAACUGCUUUUGUACGGGAAGAAACACUCCCUCGUGAGGGAGCUUGACGGUACCGUAAGAAUAAGGAUCGGCUAACUCCGUGCCAGCAGCCGCGGUAAUACGGAGGAUCCAAGCGUUAUCCGGAAUCAUUGUGUUUAAAGGGUCCGUAGGCGGUUUAAUAAGUCAGUGGUGAAAGCCCAUCGCUCAACGAUGGAACGGCCAUUGAUACUGUUAGACUUGAAUUACAAGGAAGUAACUAGAAUAUGUAGUGUAGCGGUGAAAUGCUUAGAUAUUACAUGGAAUACCAAUUGCGAAGGCAGGUUACUACUUGUGGAUUGACGCUGAUGGACGAAAGCGUGGGGAGCGAACAGGAUUAGAUACCCCUGUAGUCC